CAGCCUCAAACAUUAUAGAUGCCAUACUGUUUCCUCCAUCACUCUGAGGAAGCUUGCAACUAACACUGGCCAUUGCAAAAUUGCAGAAAUUCAAGGUUAUCACAGAAACCCACAGAUGACGUGGGUAGCAGCUUCAAAAUACAAGUACACAGGAAUGUAUCUACUUACUGAUGGAUUAGUACGAUCAAUCAGUUCAAUGGCAAAGAGAUUUCCCUUGAUGUCAAUUCUUUGUAAUGUGUGUUGAAAGGUGGUUUAAUGUUAUGUAAAGAAAAUGUAAUAAUUAAAUAAAUGAGUUUGUCAUAA